GCUGUAUAUAUAAAAGCAAGCUAUAAAAAGGACAUAUUAAAGAAUGAUAUGACAUUGUCCAGUCGUGUAUUGGCUAAUAAAGUAGACUUUGGGGUUGUAAAUAUUCCCCUUUAAGGGUCUAUCUGUUGGUCUACUACUUUCACACCUGUGUGUGACUCUCUGUCUGUCUAGGUCUGUCUCGAUGUCUAGGUCUGUCUCGAUGUCUAGGUCUGUCUCGAUGUCUAGGUCUGUCUCGAUGUCUAGGUCUGUCUCGAUGUCUAGGUCUGUCUCGAUGUCUAGGUCUGUCUCGAUGUCUAGGUCUGUCUCGAUGUCUAGGUCUGUCUCGAUGUCUAGGUCUGUCU